rnacentral:snRNA from 1 species
AUACCUGGCAGGAGAGAUACCAUGAUCACAAAGGUGGUUUUCCUAGAGUGAGGCUUAUCUAUUGUGCUCCAGAUGUGCUGACCCCUGCGAUUUCCCCAAAUGUGGAAAACUUGACUGCAUAAUUUGUGGUAGUGGGGGACUGUGUUUGCACUCUCCCCUG